rnacentral:rRNA from 1 species
AAACAAAUGAAUCAAAACUUUCAACAACGGAUCUCUUGGUUCUGGCAUCGAUGAAGAACGUAGCGAAAUGCGAUAAGUAAUGUGAAUUGCAGAAUUCAGUGAAUCAUCGAAUCUUUGAACGCACAUUGCGCCCGCCAGCACUCUGGCGGGCAUGCCUGUCCGAGCGUCAUUU